rnacentral:lncRNA from 1 species
UAAGAAACGCAUAUCACUUAUAUCAAAUGCAUAAGGGGAAAUAACUCUCAUAUGGAGUCUCCGGAUAGCUUCGGUCCAAAUGAAUAUCCUAAUCCUGAAGAUGUAACGAGCAAUUUGGUAAAAUAAAUUUGUCGUAAUCUUUUACGGUUGCGAAGGAGUAGUGGCCACAAGAAAAACAGUGUUUGGGGAGAUAACUCUUACAACGUAAAGUAUUUUGUUACGCAGUUGUAAAUUUUUAAAGCGUAUAAACUAUACGACAUCAUAUUCCAAAUAUCUAAGCGACAUCUUUUGAAACAUCAAUACUACGCAAGAAAAAAAUUUAGGCGGAAGAAAAAAAAAAAAAAAAAAAAAAAAAAAAUAAUAAUAAUUAAAAACCAAUUGUUCAGAGAACAAUUGAAGGUCUUUCCACUAGAAAAGAUCUAUUUUGAUAUUGAAAUAUUAAAAAUCAGUUUAAAAUGUUAGUUCCUAUGGCUUUAUGAUGUAUUUAUAUGAAUUUAAAGCAAAGGUCAAAAUCUAGAACGUCAUAUUAACCUAUGACCUUGACCUCAAUUUCAAGGUCACAAACCAAGGACCUUAAAUCAAAAGACCCAAGGUCUUUAAUAUGUUUGGUUUAUGAGUAAUAUCACUUUACGCGUAAUUCUAAAUGUAAGAUGGGAAAAAAACUCCCUAUUUAUUGUCUGCGCACCCUUUCAAUCAAAAUAUACAAGUAAGGACAUGUCGCAACUAACAAUUUAUGAAAAAAUUAUUUGUCGAUAUGUCAUAAGGUAUUUGAAAAUAAAUGAAAAUAAGCCAAAAUCAAAAAUUUAGAAUAUGACCUUGACCUUUGACCUUGACCUCAUUUUCAUUUUUUGGACCAAGGACCUCAAAUCUAAAGACCCUAGGUCUCUAUCACUUAUGGUUUACCAUUUAGAAAUGCAUAUCACUUAAUUUAAUGGAAAAGGGGGAAUAACUCUCAUAUGGAGUCUCCGUAAAGCUUCGGUCCAAAUGAAUAUCCUAAUCCUGAAGAUGUAACGAGCAAUUUGGUAAAAUAAAUUUGUCGUAAUCUUUAACGGUUGCGAAGGAGUAGUGGCCACAAGAAAAACAGUGUUUGGGGAGAUAACUCUUACAACGUAAAGUAUUUUGUUACACAGUUGUAAAUUUUUAAAGCGUAUAAACUAUACGAUAUCAUAUUCCAAAUAUCUAAGCGACAUCUUUUGAAACAUCAAUAAUACGCAAGAAAAAAAAUUAGGCGGAAAAAAAAAAAAAAAAAAAAAUAAUAAUAAUUAAAAACCAAUUGUUCAGAGAACAAUUGUGAAGGUCUUUCCACUAGAAAAGAUCUAUUUUGAUAUUGAAAUAUUAAAAAUCAGUUUAAAAUGUUAGUUCCUAUGGCUUUAUGAUGUAUUUAUAUGAAUUUUAAAGCAAAGGUCAAAAUCUAGAACGUCAUAUUAACCUAUGACCUUGACCUCAAUUUCAAGGUCACAAACCAAGGACCUUAAAUCAAAAGACCCUAGGUCUUUAAUAUGUUUGGUUUAUUAGUAAUAUCACUUUACGCGUAAUUCUAAAUGUAAGAUGGGCAAAAAAACUCCAUUUAUUGUCUGCGCACCCUUUCAAUCAAAAUAUACAAGUAAGGACAUGUCGCAACUAACAAUUUAUGAAAAAUUAUUUGUCGAUAUGUCAUAAGGUAUUUGAAAAUAAAUGAAAAUAAGCCAAAAUCAAAAUUUAGAAUAUGACCUUGACCUUUGACCUUGACCUCAUUUUUAUUAUUUUCGACCAAGGACCCCAAAUCUAAAGACCCUAUGUCUUUAUCACUUAUGGUUUACCAUUUAGAAAUGCAUAUCACUUAAUUUAAGGGAAAAGGGGGAAUAACUCUCAUAUGGAGUCUCCGUAAAGCUUCGGUCCAAAUGAAUAUCCUAAUCCUGAAGAUGUAACGAGCAAUUUGGUAAAAUAAAUUUGUCGUAAUCUUUAACGGUUGCGAAGGAGUAGUGGCCACAAGAAAAACAGUGUUUGGGGAGAUAACUCUUACAACGUAAAGUAUUUUGUUACGCAGUUGUAAAUUUUUAAAGCGUAUAAACUAUACGAUACCAUAUUCCAAAUAUCUAAGCGACAUCUUUUGAAACAUCAAUAAUACGCAAGAAAAAAAAUUAGGCGGAAGAAAAAAAAAAAAAAAAUAAUAAUAAUAAUAAUUAAAAACCAAUUGUUCAGAGAACAAUUGUAGGUCUUUCCACUAGAAAAGAUCUUUUUUGAUAUUGAAAUAUUAAAAAUCAGUUUAAAAUGUUAGUUCCUAUGGCUGUAUGAUGUAUUUAUAUGAAUUUAAAGCAAAGGUCAAAAUCUAGAACGUCAUAUUAACCUAUGACCUUGACCUCAAUUUCAAGUUCACAAACCAAGGACCUUAAAUCAAAAGACCCAAGGUCUUUAAUAUGUUUGGUUUAUUAGUAAUAUCACUUUACGCGUAAUUCUAAAUGUAAGAUGGGCAAAAACUCCUAUUUAUUGUCUGCGCACCCUUUCAAUCAAAAUAUACAAGUAAGGACAUGUCGCAACUAACAAUUUAUGAAAAAUUAUUUGUCGAUAUGUCAUAAGGUAUUUGAAAAUAAAUGAAAAUAAGCCAAAAUCAAAAUUUAGAAUAUGACCUUGACCUUUGACCUUGACCUCAUUUUUAUUAUUUUCGACCAAGGACCCCAAAUCUAAAGACCCUAUGUCUUUAUCACUUAUGGUUUACCAUUUAGAAAUGCAUAUCACUUAAUUUAAGGGAAAAGGGGGAAUAACUCUCAUAUGGAGUCUCCGUAAAGCUUCGGUCCAAAUGAAUAUCCUAAUCCUGAAGAUGUAACGAGCAAUUUGGUAAAAUAAAUUUGUCGUAAUCUUUAACGGUUGCGAAGGAGUAGUGGCCACAAGAAAAACAGUGUUUGGGGAGAUAACUCUUACAACGUAAAGUAUUUUGUUACACAGUUGUAAAUUUUUAAAGCGUAUAAACUAUACGAUACCAUAUUCCAAAUAUCUAAGCGACAUCUUUUGAAACAUCAAUAAUACGCAAGAAAAAAAAUUAGGCGGAAGAAAAAAAAAAAAAAAUAAUAAUAAUUAAAAACCAAUUGUUCAGAGAACAAUUGAAGGUCUUUCCACUAAUAAAGAUCUAUUUUGAUAUUGAAAUAUGAAAAAUCAGUUUAAAAUGUUAGUUCCUAUGGCUUUAUGAUGUAUUAAUAUGAAUUUAAAGCAAAGGUCAAAAUCUAGAACGUCCUAUUAACCUAUGACCUUGACCUCAAUUUCAAGGUCACAAACCAAGGACCUUAAAUCAAAAGACCCUAGGUCUUUAAUAUGUUUUGUUAAUGAGUAAUAUCACUUUACGCAUAAUUCUAAAUGUAAGAUGGGCAAAAACUCCCAUUUAUUGUCUGCGCACCCUUUCAACCAAAAUAUACAAGUAAGAACAUGUCGCAACUAACAAUUUAUGAAAAAAUUAUUUGUCGAAUAUGUCAUACGGUAUUUGAAAAUAAGUGAAAAUAAGCCAAAAUCAAAAUUUAGAAUAUGACCUUGACCUUUGACCUUGACCUUAUUUUCAUUUUUUUGGGACCAAGGACCUCAAAUCUAAAGACCCUAGGUCUCUAUCACUUAUGGUUUACCAUUUAGAAAUGCAUAUCACUUAAUUUAAUGGAAAAGGGGGAAUAACUCUCAUAUGGAGUUUCCGGAUAGCUUCAGUUAAAAUUAAAAUCCUAAUCCUGAAGAUGUAACGAGCAAUUUGGUAAAAUAAAUUUGUCGUAAUCUUUUACGGUUGCGAAGGAGUAGUGGCCACAAGAAAAACAGUGUUUGGGGAGAUAACUCUUACAACGUAAAGUAUUUGUUUACGCAGUUGUCAGUUUUUAAAGCGCAUACACUUUACGAUAUCAUAUUCCAAAUAUCUAAGCGACAUCUUUUGAAACAUCAAUAUUACGAAAGAAAAAAAUUAGGCGGAAGAAAAAAAAUAAUAAUAAUAAUCAGAACAAAACCUAUAGGUCUUUCAACCGAAAGGUUGAAAGACCUAAUAAUCAGAACAAAUUCAAUAGGUCUUUCCACCGAAAGGUGGAAAGACCUAAUAAUAAUCAGAACAAAUUCAAUAGGUCUUUCCACGGAAAGGUGGAAAGACCUAAUUAAAAACCAAUUGUUCAGAGAACAAUUGUAGGUCUUUCCACUAGUAAAGAUCUAUUUUGAUAUUGAAAUAUUAAAAAUCAGUUUAAAAUGUUAGUUCCUAUGGCUUUAUGAUGUAUUUAUAUGAAUUUAAAGCAAAGGUCAAAAUAUAGAACGUCAUAUCAACCUAUGACCUUGACCUCAAUUUCAAGUUCACAAACCAAGGACCUUAAAUCAAAAGACCCAAGGUCUUUAAUAUGUUUGGUUUAUUAGUAAUAUCACUUUACGCGUAAUUCUAAAUGUAAGAUGGGCAAAAACUCCCAUUUAUUGUCUGCGCACCCUUUCAAUCAAAAUAUACAAGUAAGGACAUGUCGCAACUAACAAUUUAUGAAAAAUUAUUUGUCGAUAUGUCAUAAGGUAUUUGAAAAUAAAUGAAAAUAAGCCAAAAUCAAAAUUUAGAAUAUGACCUUGACCUUUGACCUUGACCUCAUUUUUAUUAUUUUCGACCAAGGACCCCAAAUCUAAAGACCCUAUGUCUUUAUCACUUAUGGUUUACCAUUUAGAAAUGCAUAUCACUUAAUUAAAUGGAAAAGGGGGAAUAACUCUCAUAUGGAGUCUCCGUAAAGCUUUGGUCCAAAUGAAUAUCCUAAUCCUGAAGAUGUAACGAGCAAUUUGGUAAAAUAAAUUUGUCGUAAUCUUUAACGGUUGCGAAGGAGUAGUGGCCACAAGAAAAACAGUGUUUGGGGAGAUAACUCUUACAACGUAAAGUAUUUUGUUACACAGUUGUAAAGUUUUAAAGCGUAUAAACUAUACGAUACCAUAUUCCAAAUAUCUAAGCGACAUCUUUUGAAACAUCAAUAAUACGCAAGAAAAAAAAUUAGGCGGAAGAAAAAAAAAAAAAAAUAAUAAUAAUAAUAAUAAUAAUCAGAACAAAUUCAAUAGGUCUUUCCACGGAAAGGUGGAAAGACCUAAUAAUAAUAAUCAGAACAAAUACAAUAGGUCUUUCCACGGAAAAGUGGAAAGACCUAAUAAUAAUAAUAAUCAGAAGAAAUCCAAUAGGUCUUUCCACGGAAA